rnacentral:rRNA from 1 species
AACGAACGCUGGCGGCGUGUUUAAGACAUGCAAGUCGUACGAGGAAUCUGAAUAGCUUGCUAAUUGGAUUCCUAGUGGCGCACGGGUGAGUAACACGUGAGUUACAUGCCCCGCAGUGGGGAAUAGCCCGCCGAAAGGCGGAUUAAUACCCCAUGGUACCGCAAGGUUAAAGACGGCUUCGGCUGUCGCUGCGGGAUUGGCUCGCGUCCUAUCAGCUUGUUGGUGAGGUAACGGCUCACCAAGGCUUCGACGGGUAGCUGGUCUGAGAGGACGAUCAGUCACACUGGAACUGAGACACGGUCCAGACACCUACGGGUGGCAGCAGUCGAGAAUAAUUCACAAUGGGGGAAACCCUGAUGGUGCAACGCCGCGUGGAGGAUGAAGGCCCUAGGGUCGUAAACUCCUGUCAUUUGAGAGUAAGACCUGGUCGUUAAUAGCGGACAGGGUUGAUAGUAUCAAAAGAGGAAGGGACGGCUAACUUCG